rnacentral:rRNA from 1 species
UAAAUUGAGAGUUUGAUCCUGGCUCAGGAUGAACGCUGGCGGCGUGCCUAAUACAUGCAAGUCGAACGAAACUUCUUUAUCACCGAGUGCUUGCACUCACCGAUAAAGAGUUGAGUGGCGAACGGGUGAGUAACACGUGGGCAACCUGCCCAAAAGAGGGGGAUAACACUUGGAAACAGGUGCUAAUACCGCAUAACCAUAGUUACCGCAUGGUAACUAUGUAAAAGGUGGCUAUACUACCGCUUUUGGAUGGGCCCGCGGCGCAUUAGCUAGUUGGUAGGGUAAAGGCUUACCAAGGCAAUGAUGCGUAGCCGAAUUGAGAGGUUGAUCGGCCACAUUGGGACUGAGACACGGCCCAAACUCCUACGGGAGGCAGCAGUAGGGAAUCUUCCACAAUGGGCGAAAGCCUGAUGGAGCAACGCCGCGUGGGUGAAGAAGGUCUUCGGAUCGUAAAACCCUGUUGUUAGAGAAGAAAGUGCGUGAGAGUAACUGUUCACGUUUCGACGGUAU